GGAAUAUUGCGCAAUGGGCGAAAGCCUGACCCAGCGACGCCGCGUGAGGGAUGAAGGCCUUCGGGUCGUAAACCUCUGUCGGAAGGGGCGAAAGGCUCUUGAGCGAAUAGGUCAAGGGCUUGACGGUACCUUCAAAGGAAGCGCCGGCUAACUCCGUGCCAGCAGCCGCGGUAAUACGGAGGGCGCAAGCGGUGUUCGGAAUUACUGGGCGUAAAGCGCGUGUAGGCGGCCUGACAAGUCGAGUGUGAAAUCCCGGAGCUCAACUCCGGAACUGCAUCCGAUACUGUCAGGCUAGAGUCUCGGAGAGGAUGGCGGAAUUUCCGGUGUAGAGGUGAAAUUCGUAGAUAUCGGAAGGAACACCAGUGGCGAAGGCGGCCGUCUGGACGAUGACUGACGCUGAGACGCGAAAGCGUGGGGAGCAAAC
rnacentral:rRNA from 1 species